rnacentral:rRNA from 1 species
GCUGAACUUAAGCAUAUCAAUAAGCGGAGGAAAAGAAAAUAACAAUGAUUCCCCUAGUAACUGCGAGUGAAGAGGGACAAGCUCAAAUUUUAAAUCUAUCGGGUUUUACCUGAUCGAGUUGUAAUUUGAAGAUGGCGUUUUCUGUGUUUCUGAUCAGUCCAAGUCCUUUGGGAUAAGGCAUCAUGGAGGGUGAGAAUCCCGUUCGGUUGAUCAGAUUCGCUUUACGAUACGUUAUCAAAGAGUCAAGUUGUUUGGGAUUGCAGCUUAAAAUGGGAGGUAAAUUUCUCCUAAGGCUAAAUAACGGCGAGAGACCGAUAGCGAACAAGUACCGUGAGGGAAAGAUGAAAAGAACUUUGAAAAGAGAGUUAAACAGUACGUGAAAUCGUUGAAAGGGAAACGAUUGAAGCCAGUCGUACCUUCGGGUAAUCAGCCUUUUGGGUGUGAUUUUGUGGAGCGUGAAGAGUUAAACGCCUUCAUGCCUGCAUAUUCGUGCACUUUGGGUGUACUUGCCCGUAUGGUUGGUUAACAUCAAUUUUGGUGGUCAUAAAAUGACUGGAGGAAUGUAGCUUCGAUCUCGUAUUGAAGUGUUAUAGCCUUCGGUAGAUGUGAUGAUCGAGAUUGAGGAUUGCAACGGAUACCCUUCGGGGUUACCUGUCUGAUCUCUGAUCGUUGCUCUGGUGCCGAAAGCUUGCUUACGGUUAUCAAAGUCGAUGGUCAAUAGGUUAGAAUGGGUUAAAUUCGUUAAGGAUGUUGACGUAAUGGCUUUAAACGACCCGUCUUGAAACACGGACCAAGGAGUCUAACAUAUAUGCGAGUGUUAGGGUGAUUAAACCCUUACGCGUAAUGAAAGUAAUUUUGGUGGGAACACUUUUGUGCACCAUCGACCGAUCAGGAUAUUUUUUGAUAGAUUUGAGUAAGAGCAUAUCUGCUAGGACCCGAAAGAUGGUGAACUAUGCCUGAAUAGGGUGAAGUCAGAGGAAACUCUGAUGGAGGCUCGUAGCGGUUCUGACGUGCAAAUCGAUCGUCAAAUUUGGGUAUAGGGGCGAAAGACUAAUCGAACCAUCUAGUAGUCUGGUUCCUGCCGAAGUUUCCCUCAGGAUAGCAGAAACUCGUUAACAGUUUUAUGAGGUAAAGCGAAUGAUUAGAGGCCUUAGGGUUGAAACAGCCUUGACCUAUUCUCAAACUUUAAAUAUGUAAGAAGUUUAUCGUUACUUAAUUGAACGUGAACAUUCGAAUGAGA